AAAAUCUUACUGCCAUAAAUAAGCAGAAAUUAAAUAACAAGUACACACAAAGAACAUAAGAAUUUACGUGGUUUGACAAACUACCUACCUCCACGACAACGACGAAGAAAUUUCACUAUAAAAAUAGGGAGAUACAAUAGUGCACAAUAACAUUCUCUAGAAACCCAAAUCCUAAUACACCCUAACUCUCUCUCACCCACAAGACAAGAAAUCUCUAUUCUUCUUCUUAUGCUGCUGUUGCUAGGUUUUAGGGAUUGUCUCUUGUAAUUGCCGCACACUAGCACUUAUAUAUUGCUAUGCUUAAGUCGGCAAUGUAGGAUUCCUUGUAUGAAUUGUAUUCGGUCAACUACUGUGAUCGACUUAGACUUGUGGUUUUCUAUUACAAGUUGUAUUUGGUUUACUUGUAAUUGACUUGGGCUUGUGGCAAUUCAAGCCACACACGAGGGCCCACUUCAACAUAUCUCCACCUUGGCUUGAAUUGAUCAAGCCCUCCAUCGCCUCCAUCUUAGACCUUAAGGGCUCAAAAUUUUCAAACACCAAUCAUGUUCAAGCAGCUCUUGAACUUUUUUGUUGAAAUUGGCUUUGUUAACAUACUAGGUGCAUUCUAUUCCUCUUUUUGUGAGUAAUCCUUAGCCACUAACUGUGCCUUGAAUUAUUCACCUUCAACUUCUGAUAAUGCUUCUUUCUUGCAGUAUACCCACUUGCAACCAAUAGCCUUCUUUCCCUUGGACAAUUUCAAUGAUUCCCAAGUCUUAUUCUUCUGUAGUGACCCCAUCUCUUCUACAUCCCUAUAAGACGAUGGAUCUCCACUACUGGUUAUGAGAGCAAGGCUAACCAUAUUUUCAAAGCCAUAUCUUUGUGGUACCUCCUACGCCAUGUUGAGCAAGGAAAUUGAGGAGAAGACACAUGAACUGAGGGUGAAAGAUUUCUGGAAGAGAUCACUGCCCUUAAGCAAAAGGGAGCCGAACUGUUGGAAGAAAACCAACGACUAAAACAG